rnacentral:rRNA from 1 species
UGGGUAACCUGCCUCAAAGAGGGGAAUAGCCUCCCGAAAGGGAGAUUAAUACCGCAUAAUAUGUUUAGGUCGCAUGACUUUAACAUCAAAGGAUUUUCUUUUAGAAAUUCCACUUUGAGAUGGACCCGCGGCGCAUUAGCUAGUUGGUGAGGUAACGGCUCACCAAGGCAACGACGGGUANCUGGU